rnacentral:rRNA from 1 species
UACGUAAGGUGCGAGCGUUUAAUCGGAAUUACUGGGCGUAAAGCGUGCGCAGGCGGUUAUUUAAGUCAGGUGUGAAAGCCCUGGGCUUAACCUAGGAAUUGCGCUUGAGACUGGAUAGCUUGGAGUGCGGCAGAGGGAGGUGGAAUUCCACGUGUAGCAGUGAAAUGCGUAGAGAUGUGGAGGAACACCGAUGGCGAAAGCAGCUUUCUGGGGACGGUACUGACGCUGAGACGCGAAAGCGUGGGGAGCGAACAGG